GAUGGCGUGGUGUAGCGAGAACACUUUUGCUGGCAACAGCAGAAGAAGAGAGUUCGAAUCUCUUUGCUAUCU